CGCGCUGCGUGGGGACCAGAAAGGGGUGCCGGGCUGAGGUGGGGCCCCGGCAAGUGAUGGGGUCCCUCAUCCCGGAGGCGCAAGCUGUGGCCCAUCAUGCCCCCUCCCGGCCCCAAUUUCUGAGAUCCCUGAGGCGCCGCCUGAGAGGAACCUGAAUUGGCGGAACUAUGGUAUCAGGGACCAUGGGACUCUGCUGGGGGGAAGUUCCUACUGUGGACCAGGUGACUAUUUUUCAUGUUAAUAGAAAUAGCAAACAGUUGCAUGGGACUUAUUGUGUGCCAGGCAUUUUUGUGGUGUCACCAGCCGGCUUGAGCUUCCCUGUCCAGAAAUGAGAUUCCCCCUAGACACCCACCCUGAGAUCACCCUGCUGCUGCUUUCUUCCACUAAGCCAAUUAAAGCGGGAGGUUAAUGAUCAGAGAAGCCCUGGAGAUUUGGCCAGAGAAGAAAACAAAGGGCAGAAAUAAAUUGUGAGAGUGGGAAGGGUGGGUAAGGUUGGGUCCUUGCCAGACCCACCUCACCCAUGGACAAGGAUGAAUUAGUGCUGUAGUUGUGUUAGUGUCCAUCCUCAGGUAGGUAUCCUGCAAGGAAGGAGAGGGACACAUGGGAACCGGACACCAGGAGAGCAGAGUAUGUGGGAGUGCACUUAGGUAUAACCUGCAAAUCAUAUGGGAAUCCCUAGGUGCAGAGGAGCCUAAGGUUACGCACGUUGAGCUGGGUUUUCAAAUAAGGUUUUUAUUUCUCACUUGCUCCCUGAGGCUGAGAGCCUCUUUUGUUCAGGGUCCUGCACUGAUAGUUUUGAGACCUAGGUCCUGGGGUCUCCUUCCUCUACCCUGCCCCGUCUAGAAUUAUGGCAAUGGCAACAGAACACCUUACUGAAAUUGCACCUCCACACUCUGCCUGAGGACAGAAAGGUGACAUAUUUUUCUCUUCAGCCCUAAAGGAGAGGGCUAUGGCUAUGUUGUUUUUUGCAAUGUUGGGUAUCGUGAAUCCUGGACCUCACACAUGCCUAGGGUUCCUGCAUGUGAAGCAAGUGCUCUAGGACUAAGUUAUACUCCAGCCUUCUCAUCUUAAUCAUUGUUCCUUACCCUGACUGCCCUGUGUCCUGCACACAGCCCGUCCAGAGCAGAGGCUUGAUAAGGGUGUGUUGAGUAUAACUACAUUUUCAAAACUUCAUGAUGGUACAAACAGAGGGGGUGGGUCUCUGGAGCAAAUAUGCUAUUUGCCAGUACUGUGACCUCAUGUAGAGCAGUCAUUUACCACCAGCCUAGAUUUCCUCAACUCUCAGAGGACAGUAACAUACCAAGCACAAUAGCUGCCUCCUUUUUUUUUUUUUUUUUUUUCUUUUUGUUUUUUUUGAGACAAAGUUUCACUACCAAGUACAGGCUGCUCUUGAACUCAAAGCAAUCCUCUUGCCUCCACCUCCUGAGUGCUAGGAUCCUGAGUGCACCAUCAUGCCCAGCCUCUGAUUCCUCUUAAGUGUUCAGUCAAUGUUAGCUUCCUGGCUCUAGUUGUUUUUUCCUUGCAGUUGACUUUAGCUAGAUCAUGGUUUCCAUUAAUUAAUUUUCAUUCUCUCAUUCAUUCAGCUAGCUACUUCCUAUUGAGCUUUUGGGCUAUACUAGCCACUGGAGGAGGCUCCAGUUUAUUAUAUGUCACUUGAAGGGCUGGGAACCUGGUUCAAGUGUGUGAGCAUGCUUCUGGCUUCAUAGGGAGCAAAGACCCUGGGAAGCUGUUGAGAUUGGUUGUAUGUACACUCUGUAUCUAUGUAUGUACACACACACACACACACACACACACACACAGGACCAGACCUGGCUACAGGGCAGGAAAGGUGACCCAAGUAAGGCGUGGUGGCACGUGCCUGUAAUCCCAACACCAGCCGUUAGAGAGCUUAUUGCUUUUCCCCCAUCUCCCCCGCUGCUGUUGAAAUGCCUUCUCUAUCCCUCCUGGUCAGCUGAGCCUCACUCCUAUGCUUUUCUGUGUUUCCAUUCUUUUUUACUCCUUGCUGAUGGGAAGUCCACCUAGCCUUCCAACUGCCCUCCUUCCUGCUGAGGUACAACAGUUUUCUCUCUCUUGCUUAGAAUGCAUGUAAUUCAUUAAUUAAUUUCAAGUAAUGAGAAUAUAUUGGGUAACAUUCUAUAGGCCACACAAAAGAAAUAUCAGACUUGAUUCUUGUUCUCAUCAAGACAUGGAAACGGGCCUGUGUGACCCAGAGAAUAUGUCCAGCCAGAGAGGAGGUCUGAGAGGCUGCACAGAUUGGAGGGUACAAGAGGGCACUGUUACCUGUUCUUCAGAGGCUUUGCAGGCCAGCCUGAGGUUUGGUUCUGGACAGAAACAUGCCUGCUCCUCUUCUGGGACUACCCCAGCACUCCCACUACCAGAGCCCCAUACUGUCUGAUUUCCCCAGGGAGGGUAGCUCUGAGGGGCUGGGGCAGAGCCUGGGCCUCCCAGACAGCUGGCUGACAGGGGACUGCUGGGACUCAAAGCUGGAUCCAGGUGUCCAGAGGCCAAUGAUACUGGAGCCGUGACAGUUGGUCCCUAGAUUCCUCACCCAGUGGCGCCAGCUCUGGUUUCGGGCUGGGAGGGGGAGGGUCACCUGGUGCCAGCCAGGGCCUGGUGCUCCCUUGGGUGGGAGCAGAGGCAGUAAACAUGCCUUCAUAGGUUGUCACUGCCUUUUGUUCCCCAUUCUGUGCUGGGUACCAGUUGGAAAUCCAGAAGCACAAAACACAGUCAGGCACAUGUGAUGGGUAUGACACAGAACAUAAAAUAUUCUAUGCAGAAUAUGAGCUAAGAACAGAAGUUGAGUAAAGCUGACUGGUGAUGCACACCUAUAAUCCCAGCAUUUGGAAGGCUGAGGUAGGAGGAUUGCCACAAGUUCAAGGCCAACCUGAAUAUAUAGUAAGACCCUGUCUCAAAAAACAAACCAAGGUUAAGAUCUCACCUGUCCUUAGACUCUAUGUAUCUUCCCAAGUUGUGGCUACAUUUGCUGCCACUGAACCCUGCCUACACAAGGCAAUCUGUUGAACUUUCACUCUGCUAUUAGGAAGCACUGAAUUCUGCCUCUCUAGGGAGAGAUAGAACUCCCUUCUAUGGUCAGAAAAAGGAGACAGGGACUUUAGAAUUUAGGAGAAGUUUAAGUUUGGCAAGGUCCUGAGUAUGUAAUUUAUAGACCAUCAGAAAUCUGUCUUUUUAAAUACUGUCACCCUGAUUGUUUCAAUGUUGAUUCCAAAUUAAAACCAAAACACCUAGCAGGGAGACAUACAAACACAUGGAGUGAAGCUGCGCUCAGGGAAAGGAUCAUAAAUACAGGAUAUUUGCUUUCCUCAGAAUCACCUACCUCUGGGUCCCCCACUGCUUGAAGUGGCUUUUUAUCUCUCUCUCUUCUUUUGUAAAUAAAAUUUCAUCUUACUUUGGAAAAAAAAAUCAGGGCGAUGGGGCUGGGGAUUUAGCUCAGCGGCAUAAGCACCUGCCUUGCAAGCAGGCAGUCCUGAGUUCGAUCCCCGGUACCAAUAAAAAAAAAAAAAAAAAAAAAAAAAAA